CAUUCUGCUUUUCCUAAUCACGGAAACAGGCCUGGAGCUUGACAAGACACGGCAGCCUCAACUCACUCAGAGGAAUCCUUAUUUAGCCUUCUGACUAAUUAGAUUUUUAUCCCCAUACUUCCAAGCAUGUCUUCCUACUCUUAAUGGCUAGAAUUCUGGUUUAUUUAUUUUUAUGGAAACUGGAUCAAGCACCCUUUCUACACCCCCUCCAAUCAACUUUGUAGCAUUCACGGCUGCAUUUUAAGAACAACAGACAGGCACCAGUAUCAGAAAGCUGCUUCAUAUCUCCUGCUUCUCAUCUAAUUUGGCCCACGUUGUGUGUUUCCAUGGAAUCGGGGCAUUGACACAGCUCUGCCAAUACUCUCGGUUGCCCUGAUGACGAGUGGUUGAUUUUAUCAAGGCUGCCAUUUUGAAUGCCAUUUCCACGCUUGAUGUGGGAUGCAAUGGCCUUUCUACCAGGGGCAGGAAGCAGGCUGACAAGGAAGGAGGCAGUCCUUUAGGUAUCAUCGAACCAAGCUGCUUAGGACUUUAAAGAUGAUUGUGUGCUUUGUUGUGCUAUAUGGGGGAGAAGAACAGACAGAAACUUUGACUCGCAGAUAAAGGGAACAACAGGCUCAAUGGAGUUUUCAGUGUACAGAUACAUCUCUCCAGUGAUAACCUUUGCCCAACUUAAGCAGAACACAGAAGAGAUCCAAAGUGAAAUUGCUUGACUCUUGGCCAUGGGUUGGCAAACUAAGUCCCGGGGGCCGGAUCCGGCCCAAUUGUCUUCUAAAUCCGCCUG